rnacentral:rRNA from 1 species
UACGUAGGGAGCAAGCGUUGUCCGGAAUCAUUGGGCGUAAAGCGCGCGUAGGCGGCCCUGUAAGUCCGUUGUGAAAGUCAAAGGCUCAACCUUUGAAAGCCGAUGGAUACUGCAGGGCUAGAGUCCGGAAGAGGCGAGUGGAAUUCCUGGUGUAGCGGUGGAAUGCGCAGAUAUCAGGAGGAACACCAAUAGCGAAGGCAGCUCGCUGGACGGUACUGACGCUAAGGCGCGAAAGCGUGGAGCGAACAGG